AUUUUGAACGAGUGGCGGACGGGUGAGUAACACGUGGGUAACCUGCCCUUAAGUGGGGGAUAACAUUUGGAAACAGAUGCUAAUACCGCAUAAAUCCAAGAACCGCAUGGUUCUUGGCUGAAAGAUGGCGUAAGCUAUCGCUUUUGGAUGGACCCGCGGCGUAUUAGCUAGUUGGUGAGGUAACGGCUCACCAAGGCAAUGAUACGUAGCCGAACUGAGAGGUUGAUCGGCCACAUUGGGACUGAGACACGGCCCAAACUCCUACGGGAGGCAGCAGUAGGGAAUCUUCCACAAUGGACGCAAGUCUGAUGGAGCAACGCCGCGUGAGUGAAGAAGGCUUUCGGGUCGUAAAACUCUGUUGUUGGAGAAGAAUGGUCGGCAGAGUAACUGUUGUCGGCGUGACGGUAUCCAACCAGAAAGCCACGGCUAACUACGUGCCAGCG
rnacentral:rRNA from 2 species